GGAUGUGCGGGUGAUCGGGUUGCAAUAUCUGUCACACUGUUGAUUACCAAGGUUGAUUCAACUGAUCUGGAUGGCUAGGCAGGUGUCCCCUUCCUCCCUCAGCAUGCCAUGUGCAUCCCUCCCAAAGCUGCGCACUCGGUAGAAGAGGAAGACCACCCCCGAUAGAAGAGGAUUACUCCUCUCUCAAAUGUAUAUGGGUAGCUGUGCUCCCCUGCUAGAACCUCUAAACAAGGUCUCAAGAAGAUAAUGUGUUGAUAAGUCAAGUAGGAGAAAAGAAACUUGUUUAAUCUAGCAAGAACAUAGCAACGUAACUCUGAAGAGGUAAAGUUAUUUGUUGCCUGCU
rnacentral:snRNA from 1 species